UACGGAGGGCGCGAGCGUUGUCCGGAAUCACUGGGCGUAAAGGGCGCGUAGGUGGCGGCAUAAGGCUGUGGUGAAAGUCCGGGGCUCAACUCCGGAUCGGCCGUGGCAACUGUGUCGCUUGGGUACCGUAGAGGCAGAUGGAAUUCCUGGUGUAGCGGUGGAAUGCGCAGAUAUCAGGAGGAACACCGGUGGCGAAGGCGGGUCUCUGGGCAGUAACUGACGCUGAGGAGCGAAAGCGUGGGGAGCGAACAGG
rnacentral:rRNA from 1 species